rnacentral:rRNA from 1 species
GGGAAAGCGAGAGAGCGAUCUGGAGCAAAUCCCAAAAAUAAACGUCCCAGUUCGGAUUGUAGUCUGCAACUCGACUACAUGAAGCUGGAAUCGCUAGUAAUCGCGAAUCAGCAUGUCGCGGUGAAUACGUUCCCGGGUCUUGUACACACCGCCCGUCACACCAUGGGAGUCGGUAACGCCCGAAGUCAGUGACCCAACCGGAAGGAGGGAGCUGCCGAAGGCGGGACUGGUAACUGGGGUGAAGUCGUAACAAGGUAAC